CGAAUAUCUAAGCAACUGGUCGCUUAGAAACGAGCAGCAUAGCCUAAUAAUCAUUUAAACGGUCUUAAGCAAAUUCCAAAACAAGGAUACAGUUUGGUACAAGAAAUAAUUCCAAGUUUAAGGACCUAAACAAAUUAACAGAUAUUGCAAAACCAACUAGAAGGUUGAGGCAGUCAUCCACAUUCAGAAUUACUUUCUGUGUGGGGUAAUUCAUCUGUUUGAGAAACAUGGGGAACAAAGGCAGUAGUGAAAAGAAAAAGGAUAAGGACAAGAAAGGCAAAAAAAGUACUGAAAAAGUAAAUGAGCCUGAAGCAGAGACAAAGGAGAAUGCUAACGAGGAUGCACAACUGUCUCCAGUAAAAGAAGAUAAUUCUAAACCGUCUGUUACAGAAGAAGUAGCAGAAGAAAAACCAGAACCUGCAGAAGAGGAGGUCCCGGAUUCUUAACAGACAUCAUGUGAUUGCCACCAGCAAGCUGUCUCGGUUACCGAUCAUAUGUGCAAGGCCAAAUUGAAUGAAAGCUUCACUUACAUGCUUUGUUUUUUAUUGAAAUAAAAAUUGCAAUCAUUUAAUUUUGUUAAGCAUGUUUUGCUAAAUAAAGAAAAAUGUUACCAAA